rnacentral:rRNA from 1 species
AUUGAACGCUGGCGGCAGGCCUAACACAUGCAAGUCGAACGAGUGGCGGACGGGUGCGUAAUGUCUGGGAAACUGCCUGAUGGAGGGGGAUAACUACUGGAAACGGUAGCUAAUACCGCAUACCAUCAGAUGUGCCCAGAUGGGAUUAGCUUGUUGGUGGGGUAACGGCUCACCAAGGCGACGAUCCCUAGCUGGUCUGAGAGGAUGACCAUCAAAACUGGAACUGAGACACGGUCCAGACUCCUACGGUAGGCAGCAGUGGGGAAGAUUGCACAAUGGGCGCAAGCCGGAUGCAGCCAUGCCGAGUGGAUGAAGAAGGCCUUGGGGUUGUAAAGUACUUUCAGAGGGGAGGCGUUACCCGCAGAAGAAGCACCGGCUAACUCCGUGCCAGCAGCCGCGGUAAUAC